CAUCUACUCCCUCCGUUCCGAAUUACUCGUCGCAGAAAUGGAUGUAUCUAGAUGUAUUUUAGUUCUAGAUACAUCCAUUUCUACGACGAGUAAUUUGGAACGGAGGGAGUAUUAG
rnacentral:pre_miRNA from 1 species